rnacentral:rRNA from 1 species
UCAGAACGAACGUUGGCGGCGUGGAUUAGGCAUGCAAGUCGAACGAGAAGCCCGGCUUCGGCUGGGUGGAAAGUGGCAAAAGGGUGAGUAAUGCGUAGACAACCUGCCCCUGGGACCGGAAUAGCUGCGGGAAACUGCAGGUAAUGCCGGAUGAUGUCUUUGAGCUGCAUGGCCCAAAGACCAAAUGGGGUUGCCGCCCAGGGAGGGGUUUACGUCCUAUUAGCUUGUUGGUGGGGUAACGGCCCACCAAGGCGAUGAUGGGUAGCGGGCGUGAGAGCGUGAUCCGCCACACUGGGACUGAGACACUGCCCAGACUCCUACGGGAGGCUGCAGUCGAGAAUCAUCGGCAAUGGGCGAAAGCCUGACCGUGCAACGCCGCGUGGACGAUGAAGGCCUUCGGGUUGUAAAGUCCUGUCGGGGGGGAUGAAUGGCCGAGGAGUUCGAUCUUCGGCCACACUGACAAAAGCCCCAAAGGAAGCUCCGGCUAAAUUCGUGCCAGCAGCCGCGGUGAUACGAAUGGAGCGAACGUUGUUCGGAAUUACUGGGCUUAAAGAGCACGUAGGCGGUUUGGCUAGUCAGGCGUGAAAUCCCUCGGGUCAACCGAGGAACUGCGUUUGAUACUGUCAGACUAGAGUGAAGUAGAGGGGCGCGGAACUCCGGGGUGGAGCGGUGAAAUGCGUAGAUAUCCGGAGGAACGCCAGUGGUGAAAACGGCGCCCUGGGCUUCUACUGACGCUGAGGUGCGAAAGCUAGGGUAGCGAACGGGAUUAGAUACCCCGGUAGUCCUAGCCGUAAACGAUGGGUACUAGGUAGUGGGAAUUCCGAUGUUUCCUCUGCCGAAGCAAAAGUGUUAAGUACCCCGCCUGGGGAGUAUGGUCGCAAGGCUAAAACUCAAAGGAAUUGACGGG